UACGGAGGGAGCUAGUCGUUGUUCGGAAUUACUUGGGCGUAAAGCGACACGUAGGCGGCUUUUUAAGUCAGGGGUGAAAUCCCGGGGCUCAACCCCGGAAUCUGACCCUUGAAACUGGAGAGCUAGAAUCUUGGAGAGGCGAAUGUGGAAUUCCGUAGUGUAGAGGUGAAAAUUCGUAGAUAUUCGGAAAGAACACCAGUG
rnacentral:rRNA from 1 species